CUCUUUUGGAAAAGAAUCAAAGGUAGGGCCUGCCCCCUGAGUAAAAUUAAAGGGCCGCAGUACUCUGACUGUGCAAAGGUAGCAUAAUCAUUUGUUCUAUAAAUGAGAACUGGAAUGAAAGGUUUAAUGAGGGGUCUCCUUUAUUGAGAGAAGGAGUUGAAUUUAAUUUUAAAGUGAAAAAGCUUUAGAGUAUUUGUGGGACGAUAAGACCCUAUUAAGCUUUACUAGUAAAAUUUUCUUAAAGGAAUAAGAGAAGGAUAAAGCUAGUUGCACUGGGGCGGUGGAAAAAAACGAGUAAAUUUAAUAAAAAUUAUGAGCCAUUAUUAAUGAUAAUUAGAUAAGUUACUAUAGGGAUAACAGCAUAAUUCUUUUUAAGAGUUCUUAUUAAUGAAAGAGUUUGUGACCUCGAUGUUGAAUUAAUUUGUCUAUUAGGUGAAGAAGCUUAAUAAGAAGGUCUGUUCGACCUUAAAAUAGUUACA
rnacentral:rRNA from 1 species